CAAAAAAAAUUCAUGUCACCAUAGCUAGGGUUCUUGAACUUCCUAAGCUCAAUUAUCAAGAAAGAAGAAAUAGUGGAAGUGAUCGGGGAAAAGAGAAAGUUAUCGACUAAAUUACAAAAAAUAGUCGUUUUGCAUCCGAGUGAUUUGAACUUGAUCGAAUAGUGGACCGUCGGAGCUCGUAUCACACUAUCAUAGCCAUCUCGGUAUUAUGUGCUUUUCAAAAUGUUUGAACUAUGGCAUGUAUAGAGUCUUAAUCAUUUUGAGCAUGUUCAAA